UACGUAGGGGGCAAGCGUUGUCCGGAAUCAUUGGGCGUAAAGAGCGUGUAGGCGGCCAGAUAAGUCCGCUGUGAAAUCUCGAGGCUCAACUUCGAGCUGUCGGUGGAAACUAUCUGGCUAGAGUCCGGAAGAGGCGAGUGGAAUUCCUGGUGUAGCGGUGAAAUGCGCAGAUAUCAGGAGGAACACCAAUGGCGAAGGCAGCUCGCUGGGACGGCACUGACGCUGAGACGCGAAAGCGUGGGGAGCAAACAGG
rnacentral:rRNA from 1 species